rnacentral:rRNA from 1 species
AUUGAACGCUGGCGGCAUGCCUUACACAUGCAAGUCGAACGGCAGCAUAGGAGCUUGCUCCUGAUGGCGAGUGGCGAACGGGUGAGUAAUAUAUCGGAACGUGCCCUAGAGUGGGGGAUAACUAGUCGAAAGACUAGCUAAUACCGCAUACGAUCUACGGAUGAAAGUGGGGGAUCGCAAGACCUCAUGCUCCUGGAGCGGCCGAUAUCUGAUUAGCUAGUUGGUGGGGUAAAAGCCUACCAAGGCAACGAUCAGUAGCUGGUCUGAGAGGACGACCAGCCACACUGGGACUGAGACACGGCCCAGACUCCUACGGGAGGCAGCAGUGGGGAAUUUUGGACAAUGGGGGCAACCCUGAUCCAGCAAUGCCGCGUGAGUGAAGAAGGCCUUCGGGUUGUAAAGCUCUUUUGUCAGGGAAGAAACGGUAGUAGCGAAUAACUACUACUAAUGACGGUACUGUAGGAAUAAGGAUCGGCUAACUCCGUGCCAGCCGCCGCAGUAA